rnacentral:rRNA from 1 species
GAUGAACGCUAGCUACAGGCUUAACACAUGCAAGUCGAACGGAGCUUGCUUGUCAGAUCCUUUCGGGGUGACGACUUGUAAGCUUAGUGGCGAACGGGUGAGUAACACGUGAGUAACCUGCCCCAGAGUGGGGGACAACAGUUGGAAACGACUGCUAAUACCGCAUAAGCCCACGGAACCGCAUGGUUCAGAGGGAAAAGGAGCAAUUCGCUUUGGGAUGGACUCGCGUCCGAUUAGCUAGAUGGUGAGGUAACGGCCCACCAUGGCGACGAUCGGUAGCCGGACUGAGAGGUUGAUCGGCCACAUUGGGACUGAGACACGGCCCAG